GCCGUUAGUCCUCUGUCGGAAUGUUGUACUUGACUGCACCUUUACAUCCCGCAAAUAUUUAGCUGUAGAACAUAAUAUAGCUGCUAUAUUGAUUUAUAUGCAACUUCUAUGAUCCAUCAUGAGCCUUGAAAAGACAGUAGCUUCACCUUUUAAACCAAUACGCAAAUACUUCUAAAGAAACUAUUAGAGAUUACCAUCCACACACUUCUGCACCAGAAACUGGUGGUUAGGUAAAACCUCUUAAACUGUUUUAGCAUAGCUUUCCUUUCUCUCUCUCUCACAGAAGUAGUGAACAAUGACCAAGUUAUUUUAAAGAUGACUCACCAAACUGUGAAGUCUCGGUCAAAAGAUAUUAUUCCCAGACUGGGAACAAGCAUUAAGAUUGCAAAAGAAAUAUUUUGACUGUUAUCAUAAACAGUACGCUGUCAAACAAAAGUCUUAUCUCCAGCACGUUGUAAAUCACAGCAACAGUCCUUCACAGGCAGCACUCUUCUGUCAGACAUCUGCUCUCAGGCGUCUACAAACACGAAGCCAAUUGGUCUUCUUUUUAUUAGCACUUCCAUCUGACACUAAUAAAGGUCAAAGUGCCAUUCCAAAAUUUAAAGGGGGGGGGAACACCUCUGGAACCUUCUAGAAACCUUUUAGUUGUUUCUUUGCAGAAUGAUUCCCUAACAAACGCACAGCAGUUGAACAACCUGAGCAAUAAAGCAACCUCCUUGUGUUAGCUCAUAAUGAGAUGUGAGCAAACAGACAUCCCAAAUGGAAACAUAAUGCACCUCAGUUUCUAAGGUACAGCCUAACCUCUCAUCAACCUGGGAAAUUAUCUGCUUACAAACACAGGCCAGUCAACUGAAAGAUGGAGAGGAUGUACACCCCAUCCUAUUCUCCUGAGAGACAUUGAAACAAAAUUAUUUGAACUUCGGACCAAUAAUUGUAACCAAUUGUAACCAAUUUGGACCAAUGAUGGUAACUUUUGGAUCUGCUUUUCCUUCAGCAGGGGGAGACUAUCUGCAACUAUGAACAGGGAAACCUACCUUAUGCUUGUAGGAGAUAGUGUUAAUACAUUCAAGGAAAGGUCAUCCUUACCCACUUUGCGACCUUAAUAAAAUUGACAAAUAUAAUAAUUUCUAUCUAGUCCGGCACACCUUUGCUUGACAGAGGGAAUCUGGCCAGUGCCACCCAUGCUCUGGUAAAUACCAGGCUGAACUAUUUUAAUGUGCUCUAUAUGGGACAGCCCUUGAAGACUAUCUGAAGUUUACAACUAGUGCAAAAAGUGGUGGUAAAUGUAUUGGGGGGGACUAGAAUGUUUUGUUGUUGAUUGAUUGGGAGCUAGUACACAUUAGACAGGUGUCUAGAUUUUGUGCUAAAUAAGAGCAUAAUAUGAGCCUGCUGCAUCAGGGCAAUGGUCUACCUAGUCCAUCAUCCUGCUCUUACAGUGGCCAACCAGAUACCUGUAGGAAACCUGCAAGCAAGACUUUAGCACAAGAGCACUCUCUCUUUCUGUGUUUUCCAGCAACUGGUAUUCAAAAGCAUACUGCCUUAUUUUUUUUGCCUCAACCUGCAUCACUUUGCACUGGUUUACAUUGUUCCACCCUUACACUCACUUUGGAAAGGUCCUUUUGGAGUUCUUCACAAUCCCUUUUUGUUUUAAUGGCCCUGAACAAUUUUGUAUCGUCAGCAAACCUGACCUGUUGAUUUUGAUGGGAACAACCCAAAGGGAUUUGCUUUCCUUCCAGUGCUUUCAUUUGUGGGCACCAAUUUAGUGACAUUAGAUAGGUGCCCGUUGGUUGUACUACACAGAGAGCAAGGAUUCUAGUAGCAGCAGUAAUAGUUCCGGUGAUUAUGCAACAAAUCCUUAGCUUGUGUACAGUUUCAGUAUAGAUGCUGCACAUAUUUUAAAGACUGUAGUUUAUACUGCUUUUCGAAAGACAUGCCACAAACUAUAUUGCUGCAAUACAUCUCCCUUCAGUGUCUGGUAAAGCUUGAUUCCAGACGAUAAAAGAAGUCAAGGAGAAGUACCAGUACAGGCUAAACUGAAAGAAGGAAAGAGAUGAAAGGCAGGAUAAACUCCAGCUUUUUCAAGGGAAAAGGGAAAAAGUCAGCUAAGUUCAUCUCUCUGAGAGUGGCACGUAAGUCAAAUGCAGGGUUCCACUCCAGGCAAAAGGAUGAUAAAUUCACCAACAUCCCUGAGAUGGGGGAAAAGAUGGAUCAAUGGGAAUUAUGUUACAUGAUAAGAAACUGGCUGUGUGCUGAGUGAAUGAAUAAAGAAAUAUAUCAUGUUUAAAUAAGAAAAGCAGGGAAGAUGACAAGAGGCAGGAGCAUCACUCUGAGCAAAAUUUAUAGCUGGGAAAGCUGAGAAACAGCCCAGAGAAUGCUAACAAAUUGUCUUACACAAAUGCGGCAAGAUCUUUUACAAAGUGUUUUCCAAGCUAUACUGUGAGGAUGGGAGCAAAUUGGAAGUAGGACAAAAUGGGCAUGUCAUUAGACUUAACAGGAAAAAAACAUUCUCUGGUUCACUGACUGUUUGGGGAUGGAGGAGAAAUUUGUUCAGGCCACAUUUUAAAGAAAACUGACCUAAUUUACAGAUCCUGGACAUCUAUGCAGAACAGCCAUCUGUCAGUUUACUCACUCCUCAAAAAAACUGUAACGCAGCUUUGGUUUUAGAUCUGGGCCUACAUACACAAAAUGCAUAUUUCACAUGGAAAAUGUGUACAAAAAUGUAUUUUAUGAGAAAAGGCAAGGGAAAGAAGACAAUGUCUUAGGGAAAGAGUGCAUAUGAAAAAUGCAUACGGUUUAAAUGCAAAAUGUUCAUGUAUUUUUAUUCUCUAAAAGGGGAGUGGAUUAAAGCUACGACUGAAGGCAUAAGAGACUGACACAGAAUGGACACUGACUGGUCUGUCCAUUCUUAACAUUGUUUCCAUUUAUUCAACCCUCAUACUUGGAUCAGGAGGAGGAAGGGCUAGGGAGGAGAAGUUACCAGAAGUGACAAUGGCAAGGGACACCAGCAGAGAGAGACAGGCAGAGACAGGUCUGGCAAAGGUGGGAUAGGGAGUUCAGACAUACUGAAAUGUUCACUUGUUUAUUUGCUUCCACCUGGCCUGCCAACUCCUCUCUUCCUGUCGCACACCUGGUGAUGGAAGUGAGUAGGAAUCUGAGAGCUGGUCAGGAACCCAGAAAAUGCAGGUGGCUCAACUGUCUGCAUCCAAUCUCCUUGAGAUUGCUAGUGGUACUUGGAAGGAGGAAUACCUGGAAGGAGGUAUUCUUGCUCCUCCUGCAAAGAAACCAUAGGCUCCAAGUCAAAGCAGAGCCGAAACAGGACAUCCUGUGCAGUUUGGCCCUUUGGGUCAUUGGCACUAGGGACAGCAACAACUGUAACUAGGGUCCCCAAUGCCUCCGGUUUCCAUUUUAAAAAAUCACCAUUUAUAAAAAUGUGGAAAGGCAGCAUUGUCUUACUCUAAUUUGGUGAUAAAUUAGGAGCCAAACCUAACAAAUGCAUUUUAUUGGAAGUCCCAGAGUUGUAUUGAUGAUAGACAGAUUCUCAGACCAUAGAAAUACAAUUAGUUGAGGAGGAUCUGUAUGAUGUCAUUUCCUCUCCUCUCCAGAAGAGGAAGGAGCAUAGUACUUCCUGUCCCCCACCCCAUCUUCCUUUGACCAGCGUUGGAUGCAGACAUGCCUCUGCUUGCUCCAGCUCACACAGAGGCCUGAUGCUGGUUACACUGUAAACAUAAGUAUUUUGCCUGCGUAGUUUUUACUGCUACUGUUGCUGUGAGCCAAUGCAUGUUAUAAAGUUUGUAAAUAUAACUGUAAACCUAAUUCCCAAGUAGUUGCCUGAUUCUUUGUUAAGCAGGGUAAGAAAGGGAGAGCCAGCUUACUUCAUAGCUGGACUUGCUCAUUCAGCCUUUAUUGGACUUGCUCAUGACAAGGUUUUACAGCAUAAUUCCUAUGAAUUUAAUUUUGUUGUCAAGAGUGGGAUUUUAAACUCUUUUCAGCCCACACACAUAAGCUCCUAGGGGGAGAAAUUGCAAUUGAUAUAUCCCCUCUUACCUGUUAAAACUUAUCCCACAAAUUUUGCUUAACUAAAAUUGCGGUGGCUACACUGCACCAUCACAUUUCUUCCUGUUAUUACUGAUGAUUCAGAGUUUUUUUUACACAGCCUUACCUGAGAGUGGGACUCCUCCUGUCUGAAUAUCAAAGCAGAUGGCAGCAGCAGCAACAGGGGAAAAGUAUUGAAUGGGGACAUUUGUGUGCAACCUUUCCCCCACCAGCCCUUACUAUGAAGAUGAAAAAGAAAAUCACUUAAAAUCUUUAGACUCAGCAAUAAUAUAAACAUGCAUACUUGGGCUGCAUCAUGCCAUUAAAACUAUCUGAUGGGAUUGUGCUCUUGUUUAUUCCUUCGUUCAUUCUCCACUGAGAUUCUUAUACCGAACAAAUACUUCCUCAGGGAAGAUGGGGAGGCCCACUAACGUGAAAAAUGGAGAAUGGCAUCUUUUAUUUAAGCUGACAAAUUCCAUUUUAUUAUUCAGGGUCCGUAACCACCUCUGUUCCGACAUGGAAGAGAACUUUGAGUGAUCAGGUGUGAGAGCAAUUCAAACACAAGUCUGAGACACUCCCAACGAUCCGCUGGAAGGCGGUGAAAUUUCAGUCUAGCCAGUAGAAGAUACAAAAAAACAGAAAAGGGAGAUGGAGAUAGACAAAUUGAGCUAAAUGAAUACUGAAAUCAUUUAUGGCAGCAAGACAGCCAGGCAUGUAGUGGC